rnacentral:rRNA from 1 species
UUGACAUACUAAGAACUUUCCAGAGAUGGAUUGGUGCCUUCGGGAACUUAGAUACAGGUGCUGCAUGGCUGUCGUCAGCUCGUGUCGUGAGAUGUUGGGUUAAGUCCCGCAGCGAGCGCAACCCUUUUCCUUAUUUGCCAGCGGGUCAUGCCGGGAACUUUAAGGAUACUGCCAGUGACAAACUGGAGGAAGGCGGGGACGACGUCAAGUCAUCAUGGCCCUUACGGCCAGGGCUACACACGUGCUACAAUGGUCGGUACAAAGGGUUGCUACCUCGCGAGAGGAUGCUAAUCUCAAAAAGCCGAUCGUAGUCCGGAUCGCAGUCUGCAACUCGACUGCGUGAAGUCGGAAUCGCUAGUAAUCGCGGAUCAGAAUGCCGCGGUGAAUACGUUCCCGGGCCUUGUACACACCGCCCGUCACACCAUGGGAGUUUGUUGCACCAGAAGUAGGUAGUCUAACCGCAAGGAGGACGCUUACCACGGUGUGGCCGAUGACUGGGGCGAAGUCGUAACAAGGUAGGCGUAGAUGA